GGUAAAAUGGCUGAUAAAAGCAUUAGACUGUAAAUCUAAUUAUGGAGGUCUGAGUCCUUCUUUUACCA
rnacentral:tRNA from 1 species